UACGUAGGGGGCUAGCGUUGUCCGGAAUCAUUGGGCGUAAAGAGCGUGUAGGCGGCCCGGUAAGUCCGCUGUAAAAGUCAAAGGCUCAACCUUUGAAUGUCAGUGGAUACUGCCGGGCUAGAGUCCGGAAGAGGCGAGUGGAACUCCUGGUGUAGCGGUGGAAUGCGCAGAUAUCAGGAAGAACACCAACGGCGAAGGCAGCUCGCUGGGACGGUACUGACGUUGAGACGCGAAAGCGUGGGGAGCGAACAGG
rnacentral:rRNA from 1 species